UUUAUUGAGACUACUACUAGGCUUUAAAAAUUGAGGAAUACAGUACAUGAGCAGAAACAAAGUUUAACGUAGUUGUCGCAGGUGUAAAGAGUCAACGUGCUCCUCUUGCAAAACGGAAACCAAAAAAAAUCUCUUUCCGAUCCCGUUCCGCCGUGCCAUGAUGGUAACCUUCGACACGUUGCACGCGUACAAGCAGAGUAGAUAUCCUUACUCUGAAGCUUGCUUGCUUUCUUGUAGGCACCCUGACGAAGUGAACCUGUUUUUCAUUUCUGUAGUGACCCAGUAGAAAGCCCGGAGAGCCCUCGGCGCAGCAGCCUGUCUGACCCGAGCCGUCCAGCCGUCAGAUGCGUGGGGUAGCAGCCCGGUCCUGCGAGCGUGGCCGGAAUGAGUCGGCAGCCUUCACCUCUGACCGCUCACAGACUAGAGGUUUACUCCUCUGGACCAGCGUGGAAGGACAUUUCCAGGAACUUUUUCCACUAGGGUACAGGUGGAAACUGCAUGCUUAUAAAACCAAGAACAAGAAGCCCCUUUUUGCCCAAAGGAUUGUGGGAGUGCGGAACAAGACCCUCAGCCGUGCUGCUGGAGCAGAUAUCCCGGCUUCUUUCAGGACACAGCUAGAUCCUGGGAUCAAUGAACUACUGACGGCCCAUCAGGCCAGACGGGCGAAUUGGCCUCUUCUCGUUUGUUACCUUUCCUACGCUCUAAGUUUGGAAGGCACAAGUUCCCUUCCUCAAGCAGCUCCAGCUGUGCUUUGCCACUCAACAAGAGAAGCCAUGUGUGGGACCAAGGGUGCCCACAAACUUGCCUGGACUUGGCUCAAUCCCCAGCAUCAAUCGGCGCAAUCUAGCGGUUAUUGAUUAAUUCCGCCUGCCACGUUGCCGAUUCCGUUUUCUACAGAUUUGUAACAAGCGCGGAGUUCCAGUUAACUCUUCGGUCUGCAGUGCGCGCUUUGAUUUAGCAUUAGUGGGGAAGAGUUAUUGCAAAUGCAGAUAAUCUGCUGGGCCAGGAGGUGCUUCCAUAACUCAUCUGGAGAACGUCUAGUUAGUCAAUCACUCGAUCUGUAAUCACAAACGCUGCCAGAAAUCGCAUGAAUGAUGAGCUGUAAUAAAACCAGUUACUUUUGUAUUCUU